rnacentral:misc_RNA from 1 species
AUUCUAGUUACAAUGAGGGUGGCAGGCGACAGCUGCUGCAAACUGGUAAGAUAUGAUGGAGCGAAAGUCAUCCAGGAAAUUCAGUACGACAAGUUUGGGAACUGUCUCUUUAGCAGAGGUUACAAAUGUGUGUUCCUGGCAGAAAAUAACAAUGGUGACCUAUGUGCUUCGGACACAAACUCCUGUUCCUUGAUUGUUGUGAAUAAAUCAGGCGAUUUUCGUUAUCGGUACUGCUGUGAUCCAACACUGCGGAGGAAGCCGUUUGUCCCUCAUCAUAUUGUUACCGAUUCCCAGUGUCAUAUCAUACUGUCUGAUUAUGUCAACAACUGUUUGCAUAUAUUCCACAAAGACAGUCAGUAUCUGAAAUGCAUCAGUCAUCCCGACCUUGACCUUCCUGUGGCCUUGACCAUAGACAAUGAUGACAAACUGUGGGUAGGUCUAUAUGUGUCAGGAAAGGUCAAGGUCAUUCAGUAUAUGAAAUGAGCAAUUUGGAACCUCAUUCACCAUGAGAAUACAUCAAUCACAAUUAGGAAAUGUAUAAUAACUAUUUCUAGUGCUAACAAGUGUUGAAUAAUCCUAUUUCCUGGUAAAUACAUGUACAAAGUACAUGUACCAAUAUGCGUCUGGAAAUAGUCUAUAAGGAAAUGAAGGGUAAUCAGGGAUUAAACUAAUUGAUGC